AUGAACGCUGGCGGCGUGCCUAAUACCUGCAAGUCGAGCGAACAGAAGAGGAGCUUGCUCCUCUGACGUUAGCGGCGGACGGGUGAGUAACACGUGGAUAACCUACCUAUAAGACUGGGAUAACUUCGGGAAACCGGAGCUAAUACCGGAUAAUAUAUUGAACCGCAUGGUUCAAUAGUGAAAGACGGUUUUGCUGUCACUUAUAGAUGGAUCCGCGCCGCAUUAGCUAGUUGGUAAGGUAACGGCUUACCAAGGCAACGAUGCGUAGCCGACCUGAGAGGGUGAUCGGCCACACUGGAACUGAGACACGGUCCAGACUCCUACGGGAGGCAGCAGUAGGGAAUCUUCCGCAAUGGGCGAAAGCCUGACGGAGCAACGCCGCGUGAGUGAUGAAGGUCUUCGGAUCGUAAAACUCUGUUAUUAGGGAAGAACAAAUGUGUAAGUAACUAUGCACGUCUUGACGGUACCUAAUCAGAAAGCCACGGCUAACUACGUG
rnacentral:rRNA from 1 species